CAGAGCUGGCAAGUCGUCCCAGGGAAGACAACGGCCUUCCUGGAGGGAGGGAACCUUGUGGUUAGGCGCAUGGGGUGCGAAGCAGAUCAUCUCAGCCUCUCCUGAACUGUGACCAACUGGCUUACUCAAGGGACUGGAUCUGCUGUCCCGACAUGAUGGCAAGCUGCAGCACAUCAUGCAGAUUAAAGUUCAGCCUGCCUCAGACUCAGGAUAAAAACACAUUUGGGACAGUCUCGCUCAGCCUCAUUGCAGAGACAAGAAAUGUAUGAAAAGAAAGUACAGAGAAAAAAAAAGAAUGGAAUACACAUGAAUGCCGAACCACAUUGGAUAUGUAGCUGUUCAUGAAGAUAUUCCAGGGAAGGCCUAUCUAGUAGAGCCUCAAAUCUAUUUGAAUACAAAUGGCACUCAUUAAGGACAUCUGUCUUCUGUAAUGUCUACACAAAGUCUUACCGGGGUCUUCUUGGCUCUUAUUGACGGCUGAUGAAGGAGGGGUUUAUAAAGAAAACAAGCCAAAACCUGAAUAACUUGCUACUGAGAGCAGCACACAUAUUUUCCCAAAGUGCAAAGUUGAGAAGAAGUACAAAGCUUUGUUAAUAUUCUGAACAGUACUGCUUAGUAUGAUCUAAUUGAUGGAUUUUCCAUGGACUCCCUAGAGACUGAAAAAGGUUUGACUGUCAGGAAACUUUUCUUGUGUUUAUUCUUCAAUUUUCCUUUUCCUACUUUCCAAUCAUCAUUCCCUAUUAACAUCCCUUGAUGGGUCACCUUAAGUGAUUAUUCUUUUUAAUGGCAUUUAUAACGUUUAAUAUUUCCCUGUUAAUUUCUAUUCCGACAAAGUACAUAUUUUUUUAAUCUUCACUCAUAACAUUAAUAAAUUUUUCCAACAUUUUAAAGCUCAGUUAACAUUUCCUUAUAUAUGCCUCUGUCUUUAAAAUAUGAGAUCUGAAUGUACUGGUAUCACUAGAAUUAUCUACAGAGUUCUAAUGUGAUGGAAAUUGUGCUACAAAAAUUUGUUCUUACAUAAUUUGCUUCAACGGAAUUCCUCCUGAACUAAAUACUUAGUCUUUACAUUCUUUAAAAUAACUAAAAUUUCCCAGAGGAAAGUCUGAAUUGUUCAUUUAACCUUGUGUGAUGUGUGCUGUGUGUAGCUGAAACAGCAAAGUGGACACACCUGCACCCUUAACAUUUUUGACUUUUUUUUUUUUUUUUUUAAAGAAUCAAGUUUCGUUUUUGUCACCCAAGCUGGAGUGCAGUGGUACAAUCUCCGGUCACUGCAACCUCCGCCUCCCGGGUUCAAGCGACUCUCCUGCCUCAGCCUCCCAAGUGGCUGGGAUUACAUGUGUGCACCACAAAGCCUGGGUAUUUUUUUUUUUUCAUUUUUAGUAGAGACGUGGUUUCACUAUGUUGGGCAGGCUGGUCUUGAACUCCUGAACUCAGGUGAUCCUUCCCCGCUAGGCCUCCCAAAGUGCUGGAAUUUCAGGCCUGAGCCACAGCACCUGGCCAACUGUGACUCAUUUUUAAAGCGGUUUGGCAAUAAUGCUAUAUACGUAUAAUGGUUUUGAAUAAAAUAUACAACUAUACAUGGCCUGUUAUCUUCUUAUUUUAGACAGAAUAAUCUUAGUCUUGUACUUUCAUGUAUUAGGCUGAUAGCCAUGAGAUUUGGGGAGGAAAAAAAUAGGAUAAAAUAGGACUCACUCAUUUCAAGAAAUAGAGUUAGUUUUCUAUGCAAGCAUUUUCUCCCCUUCUCCUUAGCCCACCAAAGUGGUAAAUGAGACUUCCAGCCAUGAGGCUGUUUGCACCUCUGUCUGGGAGGAGACUUCUGGAGCUUUGGUUGCUGCUAAUGACUUGGAGGGGCUUUGAAGGCCCCCUUGAAGAUGUCACGCAUGACCUCUGGACCCUUGGUAUCUUUCAAGAAUCCUUAUGAGAUACUAACUCAUUUCGUUUAUAAUAGGUGAAAACAGAUCAUGUAUUUUUAAACCAGAUAAUGCCUAAGUUAUAUUACUCUAGAAUUCAUAGAAAAAAUAAAAUAGCCGAGAUCUUUAAAAAGACUGUAAUGUGGUAUUAGUGGACUGUCUUUUUUUUUGUUUAUGGAGAGAAAAAAAUUAUUUGUAAGUUUUUUUUU
rnacentral:lncRNA from 1 species